rnacentral:rRNA from 1 species
UACGUAGGCAGCAAGCGUUGUUCGGAAUUACUGGGCGUAAAGGGCGUGUAGGCGGCUUCGUAAGUUCGGUGUGAAAUCUCACGGCUCAACUGGGAGGGGGCGCCGAAAACUGCGAAGCUGGAGCGCAGGAGAGGAGAGCAGAAUUCCUGGUGUAGCGGUGAAAUGCGUAGAUAUCAGGAGGAAUACCGGUGGUGAAGGCGGCUCUCUGGACUGCUGCUGACGCUGAUACACGAAAGCGUGGGGAGCAAACGGG